rnacentral:sRNA from 1 species
GCUACCUCUUAACAAAAACUGCUGUUUCUAGACCUUUGUUUUUGGUUUUGGAUGACAAUUUUUAUUAUCAGAGUAUGAGAUAUGAAGUCUACCAGCUGGCUCGGAAAUAUUCGUUGGGCUUUUGCCAGCUCUUAUUAGAUUGUCCUCUUGAGACCUGUUUACAGAGGAAUGGCCAGAGGCCACAGGCACUGCCUCCUGAGACCAUCCACCUGAUGGGAAGAAAGCUAGAAAAGCCCAACCCUGAGAAAAAUGCUUGGGAACACUACAGCCUCACAAUUCCGAGUCCAGCAUGUGCUUCGGAGGCCAGCCUGGAGGUGACUGAUUUAUUGCUCACUGCUUUGGAAAAUCCAGUAAAAUAUGCUGAGGACAAUAUGGAACAAAAGAUGAACAAGUGCUUCCUCACAACUUGAAGCUUCUAGCGGAAGAACUUAACAAGCUCAAAGCAGAGUUUUUGGAAGACCUAAAACACGGAAACAAAAAAUAUCUGUGCUUUCAGCAAACCAUUGACAUAUCAGAUGUCAUUUCUUUUUUUCAUUAUGAGAAAGAUAAUAUUGUACAGAAGUAUUUUUCAAAGCAGCAUUAAAAUUUCUGAACUGCCAAUC